rnacentral:rRNA from 1 species
GACGAACGCUGGCGGCGUGCUUAACACAUGCAAGUCGAACGGAAAGGCCCUGCGUUUGUGGGGUUCUGGGUGGGCGAAGGGGGGAGUAACACGUGAGUAACCGGCCCUUGACUUUGGUAUGAGUUCAGGAAACUGGGGCUAAUACCGUAUAGGAUCUCCUGCUGGAUGGUGGGGGUGGGAAAUUUUCGGCUGUUGGGGCUGGACGCGCGGCUGACCAGCUUGCUGGUGGGGUAGUGGCUUACCAAGGCAUUGGCGGGUAGCCGGCAUGAGAGGGUGACCGGCCACAUUGGGACUGAGAUACGGACCAGACUCCUACGGGAGGCAGCAGGGGGGAAUAUUGCACAAUGGGAGGAAGCCUGAUGCAGCAACGCCGCGUGCGGGAUGACGGCCUGCGGGUUGUAAACCGCUUUAGCCUGUGACGAAGCGUGAGUGACGGUAAUGAGUAAAGAAGCACCGGCUAACUACGUG